GCCACUGUGGUGUAGUGGUUUGAAUGUUGGACUCUGACUCUGGAAAUCAGGGUUAAAAUCCCUGCUUGAGUG